AUUGAACGCUGGCGGCAGGCCUAACACAUGCAAGUCGGACGGUAGCACAGAGAGCUUGCUCUUGGGUGACGAGUGGCGGACGGGUGAGUAAUGUCUGGGGAUCUGCCCGAUAGAGGGGGAUAACCACUGGAAACGGUGGCUAAUACCGCAUAACGUCGCAAGACCAAAGAGGGGGACCUUCGGGCCUCUCACUAUCGGAUGAACCCAGAUGGGAUUAGCUAGUAGGCGGGGUAAUGGCCCACCUAGGCGACGAUCCCUAGCUGGUCUGAGAGGAGGACCAGCCACGCUGGAACUGAGACACGGUCCAGACUCCGACGGGAGGCAGCAGUGGGGAAUAUUGCACAAUGGGCGAAAGCCUGAUGCAGCCAGGCCGCGUGUAGGAAGAAGGCCUUCGGGUUGGAAAGUACUUUCAGCGGGGAGGAAGGCGACGCGGUUAAUAACCGCGUCGAUUGACGUUACCCGCAGAAGAAGCACCGGCUAACUCCGUGCCAGCAGCCGCCGUAA
rnacentral:rRNA from 1 species